rnacentral:lncRNA from 1 species
UUAAAAACGUUGGUGUGUGGAGUAACUUGGGCAGCUUGCUCAUGAGUGCCGUGUGCCUGUGGGCUCUUUGAUGACGUCUUCCCUGAAAACCCGGUGUUCUCUCUACGCCCCCUGCACGGGCCUCCCCCUCGGCUGAGUGUGUUUCUCUCUCAUUCCUUCCUCCUUGCGCAUCAGAAGAGCCCCUGCCAGGGGCGCCUGGCAAGUGCUGUGCCCACGUCUGCCCAGGACCCAGCCGUGUUGAGUGAAGCUCUUGGGGCCAGCGUGCGCCCUGACGCACAGGAGAGAGCUGAAGGUGACGAGGCGAGACCCCGCGCUGGACGUGGCACUCGGGUGUUGGAGUGAGGAGGUGGCGCCGUGUGCUUGAUGGUUUCCAUCAGAGAAGAGUCUGCCUUCCUCCAGAAGGAGCGGGGGAUGGUGGUUCCCCAGCCCGGAAGGAAAAGGAGCCGAGCUCUAGCUGUGAUCACGGCCUCAGUCUGCCUGCCUUUGUGCAUGGAAGGAACUUGCUAGUGACCGCUGCUCUCCUGGGCAGUGUAAGAGUGUUGUGUGGAGGCCGGGGGCGCUGGAGGCCAGUCUCGUUUUCAUAGCCCAGAUGGCUCCUGGCGCAGGUUGCAGUCACCUCCAUUACUCUUUCACGAGAGAGCUGCAGCAGUGCCAUCUGGGGCCUAGCCACACCUGGUCACUGGUGUCCCGAGGCACACGAGCAGUCCCUGCCGGAAGCUGACACACUGUCAUGGCCAAGGGCCACAGUGCAGGUACCACGGUGAUCCGGCUUCCCCGAGUCCAGCUCACGCCCGUUUUCCUUGUCUCAACCUUCAGAGCCCUUCCAAGCCCCCACUGGCUGCAGCCCACCCAGGGGACCCACCUUUAGAGGCUGGACUCAGGCUUCACUGAGGGGUGAGAAGCGCAGGUUUACAAAGCUCUGGCUGGGAAGAAAUUGAGUAACCACUCCCUCAGAAACAAAGGGAGACGUUUAAUUACAUGAACGCACACAUUUUAAAAACCGCCUGUGUGCUCCCGGAGGGCAGAGCCUGCCUCUCUGGUUAUUUUUGUGUCCUCCAUUCACUUACAGGCUGUGACAAACCCUGUGCCCACGCUGCCUCCACUGCCGGGAGACUCAGGGCUGGGGGAGACAUGCCCUGGUCACCACUGCGGAGACUCAGGGCUGGGGGAGACAUGCCCUGGCCACCAGUGGUGAGCCAGCGAGACAGGACCCCGUGCGCGCUGACCCGGGGACGCCACGGAACUUGCUCGCAAUUCCUGCUCACAGCACGUUUCCUGUUCGGAAACCAGGAGAGCCUCCACGUGCCAACUAGCUCUGUCCACACAUCCAUUGCGCAGCUCUGCAGCGGAAGGACCUUCAGUAAAGACGCUGGUUUGUAAUGAGAGAAGCGUUCCAAAGUGUCACACGACAUUGUUUAUUACUAAAAGGAGCAGAAUUUCUUUUUAAUCUUGACAGUGUUGUUUUUGUAACAGUAUGAUUUAAACUGUUUCAUUUAGGAAAACUUUUUUUCAUUUCAUAAGUAAUCAAGCUAUCUUUCCAGCUUAAAAGCAAAGAAAAAAGGCUCAGGGUAACUUUUUAAACCACUUCAUCAAUAAGAAAAGUUCUCUCUGUCAUUGCACGGCAUGAUUGUACACAGUAUUAGCAAGCAGUUCACAUGGGCCAGGGCCGACUUGGAAGGAAACACAGGUUAACACUGUUUUCUUUCCGAGUUCACAGAGAUGUUUGCAGCAGGCUCAGUUGCUUUGGCAGCUGGAGCGAGGGUGCCUCUUCCGCGUGGCUCCCCUGAGCAGAGAGGCCCCUGUGGUUUUUUUCUCCGCCGGGCUCUGGGGACAGGGUUUCUGUGGAAAUGGCAAAUGGUGCAGAUGAGCAGAGUCCUGCUAGAGAGGUCAGCUCAGCGUCCAGGAGGGGGUGCCUGCCCCCGAGGAGGCCACGGACGUGCCUGGGAAGUUGCUGCUGGAGAAGUGUGCUCUGAUGUGGCCACACUUGGGGACGCGGGCUCCCCAGAGGCCCAAGCGAGAAAGCCGGGGGUUCCCAGGCUGGGGGUGCAGGACGGGUCAGGCACUGCCCUGCAGGGCCCGCCCCCCUGCCCCUGCACCCUCACACCCAUCUUCCUCUCUCAGCCUGACCCCAGGGCCUGGGAGCCCCCGGCAGACCGGCCCUCCUUUCCAAACAGUGGCUGCCCUUUAUGGACUCGGCGCCUGGCAGAGCCACUGUGGAGGAGGAGUUGGCUGUCAUGGUCAGGGGAGGCAGCCCUUGGGUUGUCAAGGUUGGUGGUCAACGUUGAAGCCAUAUCUGCUGGAAUCUCCCGGUCUGUUCCACACACGAUCAUGCGGGAAGCUCUGGGACCCGAAGGCUGUUUUGAUCUUGGGGGUCACAAGUUCUCACAGCAGCCUGGGGUCACCAGGGAGCAGACCCGGCAUUAGCCUCUGUAAGGAGCUGCCUGGCUGCUGGGCUGAGCUUUGUUGCAGGCCCAGGAAGAUGACCAAGAAGGACAGAGCAGAGCCCCAUCCACCACUGCUGGGAGGGCCCGAGGGAGCACGUGCACAGCAGAGCCCCAUCCUCCACUCCCUGGGCUGGAAGAGGCUUCCUCGGUGUGGAUGGCAGCUGUUAACGAGCAGUGGUGGUGCAGCUGGAGGCCUCUGUCCCAUGGGGCACAGACAGGGGGGAAGGAUGGCGGACGGGUGUACAUGCUUGGGAGGACGGGCGGGCGGCAUAGGCCUGAGCAGGUGGCGUGGGCGCACGAGAAGGGUGUGUCUGACACAGGAUGUUUAUCCCAAAUGCCAGGAGUGGACGAGGCGGACGAGUGGCAGUGAGGUAGGCAUGUGAGGUUGUUGCCUGGCCCACUCUGCCGACCCCAGAAACCCAGCGGCCUGGGCCCAGCACCCGGAUACACAUGGGGUGAGCUCACGCCCACACUGUGGCCUGUGCCCGUCACGGGGCUGCUUGCUUCUCCUAGGCUUGGGAACAAGCUGGCAUGAACGCUGUGGCCGCAUUCACAGCUCAGGCACUUCCACUUUGGGUUUCAUGAAGAAACAGACUUAAAGAGCAUUUGUUCCUAAUGGGUGGGCUGAAGCUUGGGAGGAGCAUUCAGCUUCUCUCCACAGUAUGGCUUCACCUGUUCCUGAGCGCCCUACUACCCUCUUGCUAACCUGGGUGGCUGAGGUCCUCUGCUUUGGUGGCGUUGACUGCCUGUCUGCAGCCAGCGCCAGGUGCCAGCCCCUGUCUCUGCUCAUCAGGAAGCGCUGGCCUGCAGGUGCUUUGUGGUUGCCACGGACCCUUGUUCUGUCCCUUUCCAGCACCCACCCCCCACCCGCUGUGCGUUCCGUAGUUCAUUUUCAAGGCAGGGGGCACAUGGUGAAAAUACAGCCUGGCUUUUUUUCAACAAAUGCAGCUGCACUUUUCCUUGCUUGUUUUGAAGGCUGAGCCGGCAAUCUCCUUGGCACCUGGGGACAGUCGCUUCCUCAGUUUCUGCGUACCGACUGCCUCACCUGACACGCGGCCUGGGCGCGAGAGAAGCCAACCAGGUGCCUGAGUUGACUGACUGUUUACGCCCUCCAACCUCCUCCCUCCGCCCUCCAACCUC